UCGUCUUUUCUACAAGUUCUCGUACUGUAUGAUUAAUCCAUUUCAGCAGUGAACGUAGAGAACACAUCUCAUAACAAUCAUUUGUUUCAGGUUAGGGGUGACCUCGACUCUUGGGACUACGAUGACUUGCAGAUCUUGCGACAAGGGAAGGGUCGAUCCGGUUGGACACACAAAAUGGGUCACAUGCCUAAAGGUGCAAUGUAUAACAACGUAGUUGUGAGUGAGCUCAGCACUUCCCUGCUCCUCAUUACCUACUGUGUGGUCAUCCAAGCAAUGUUUCACUAGAUAAAAGAACAAGAAAUACAUAUACCACUGGAUUCAAGAUUAAUUUUUUCCUAGUUGAAGAAUCAUUGAAGGUACUGGCGGUGUUGUGACAUUUCUACAUCAUGCUGAUGAAAGUUGAAACUCCAUAAUGUGGAAGAACAUUAAGAUAUGAAAGUGUGCAGGUCUCUCCCAUCUUAUUUUUAUUGGUUAUUGAGCCAUACAGGGAGAUAUCUUAGAUGGCCAAAUGAUAUAUGCUACUGUUUAAUUUACUUGAUACAUGUACUUGCAAGUUUAGUGCUAGAAAGUUAAAGGUGGUUAUAGAUGAUCACUUAAUAAAUACAGUACUUGGAAACUAUAGAUAUUAGUUGGUUUUCAUAUACACUUUGCAGUGUGCCAAGGUUCUUAACAUGAAGGCACCCUUGGUAGUGAAACCUCCUUGCAAUGUGCCAAGGUUCUUAACAUGAAGGCACCCUUGGUAGUGAAACCUCUUUGGGAACAAGUUUUAGGUUAGUAUCAAUAAGUUUUUUUUGGUAGGAGUUCGUAGUUAGAACUUGAUAAAUUUAUUUUUUGAAAUUUAGACGAUUUUUUCAUCCUCGAUAAGGGAACUACAAAGUUACUAUGUACAGACUAGCAAUGGUGAUUACUAAUAGCUUUUUUGUUAGCCAGAUGUUAACAGUAACUUCAAGAUGUUUUCAUAUGAUCUUGCAGUGUUUAUCACUGCAUCAACUCAAAAAAAUAUAGUCAUGAAAAAACUCAUUUGAAUAUACAUUAUAAUGUUAGUUUUAUUUUAUUGGUCAGUCUUUUAAAAUUUUUAUACCUAGUUUCUAUAAUGUUUACUGCAGUUAAUGCUUACUGAAGUUUUGAUAACGAAUAACUAAUAACAAGAGUGCAUCAUUACUGAAACAAGUAUAACUAAAUAUGUGAUAAAGUUUUGCUUGUGUAAAAAGCCAGAAAUUUCAUAUUUCUAUUCAGAAAGUAUAUAGAGUUUUUUUUAUAAAUAUAGAUAAACAUUUGGUUUUAAUUCAAUAUACAUAUUGAAAAUUGAGAUGCCUCUCAAUAAACUCAUAGUUUGAAAAGGGACAAGAAUCAAAACUGAAUAUUUUGAUCCCUGCCCUGGGUGGGUUGUUUCUCAGUGAUGGAAUGAAAAUAUUCAUUUUUUUUUCUGUCUAAUUUCAAAGCUGGUUUUUUUUUUUUUUAGUAAUUUACAAAUGUAACAUUACAUUUUAAUCUGUUAAACUGAGAUAUGUUCGUGUAAAUGAAAAACAAAUUUCCCAUCUUCAUAUACUACUAUACUUGAGAGGAAGAAAAGUAUAUAGUAGUGUACUUCCAUGAACAAAGGUAUGUACAUACACCAGUGUUCAUUUCACACAGGAAUGAUAACAAAGGCUUCCAUGUUUGUUCAUUAGUGACAAGAUUAGCAAUUGCCAAGCUUAUUUAGAGUUUUCAUAAGGCAUAUAUAACUGUAUUUGAUGCACAGGAAGAAAAUUGCCUUAUUGAAACUAUAAUUUAAGAUUUCUAAUGGCUAAUUCUGUUGCAAGUGUCUCCUUGAUGCAGCAUGCCAAUACCUUCAACCAGUGUAGAUGCACUCUGUCAUGAUCAAAAUGUCUGUUGCUGAGGAGGAACCACAUUGCCCUUGUGCUUUAUUUGUAGGGAUAAUUUGGUGCAGAUAUGCGUACUCUGGAAAUAUUCAGAUUACUUGCACAGUGUAAAUAAGGUUUUUCUAACAUUUCAGAUUGUUGGUGUUUUAUAUUUUCUAAAUAAUCAAACUUAACACCAAUUGUUUGAUGACUAAUACUGUACCAUGUGAAAGUUUCAAAUAUUUAAAUUGGAUGUUUUAUAUCUACACAGUGACUUUUAGCUAUACACACUUUCCCAGAUCUUCUGAUCUGAGAAAUAAGCCCUUGAUAUUUUUACUAGCUCUGUAUCUAAUAAAUGUGUGAACAGUGAAAUACAGCAUGGAAAAAUA